rnacentral:rRNA from 1 species
UACGGAGGGGGGCUAGCGUUGUUCGGAAUUACUGGGCGUAAAGCGCACGUAGGCGGCUUUGUAAGUUAGAGGUGAAAGCCCGGGGCUCAACUCCGGAACUGCCUUUAAGACUGCAUCGCUUGAAUCCAGGAGAGGUGAGUGGAAUUCCGAGUGUAGAGGUGAAAUUCGUAGAUAUUCGGAAGAACACCAGUGGCGAAGGCGGGCUC